rnacentral:rRNA from 1 species
UACGUAGGGGGCAAGCGUUGUCCGGAAUCAUUGGGCGUAAAGCGCGUGUAGGCGGUUCGAUAAGUCUGCUGUGAAAGUCCAGGGCUCAACCCUGGGAUGCCGGUGGAUACUGUCGGACUAGAGUGCGGAAGAGGCGAGUGGAAUUCCCGGUGUAGCGGUGAAAUGCGCAGAUAUCAAGAGGAACACCUGAGGUGAAGACGGGUUGCUGGGCUGACACUGACGCUGAGUGCGCGAAAGCUAGGGUAGCAAACGGG